GUGUAUCUUCCUCUAGCGUUUUGGUUGUGCUGAUUGCGGGAUUCGUUGUUGCAACCUCCGAGCCGGAGACACCUGGCGUCGGCGAAACCAAGCCAGCCGAUCAGCAAAUAAAGAAGGCUGUCGAUGCGGUGUCCAAGGAAAUCAGAUCCUUGACUGGAGUCAGCAACAGCACCGUUCUCACUCCGUUGUCGUAUGCCGUACACAUCUGGUUUGAUACCCUGUACUACAUCAAGGUCCGACUCGGAGCUGGUAAAAUUGAAAGAUAUAUCCAUGUCAUUAUCUACCGGAGUAUUUUCAACGGCACAUACUCUUUGAGCACCGUCAAGACCGCUAAGCGAGACGAGCCCAUUACCUACUUUGAAUAAACAGUCAUUUUGCUAAUUACUGAAUGAUAUUACCGAAUUAUUGUCUUCCUUGCAUAUAGCGCCAAUAUGCUAUUAUGCAACCAAG